rnacentral:tRNA from 1 species
UCCCUGGUGGCCUAACGGUUAGGAUUCUGUGCUUUCACUGCUGCAGCCCAGGUUCAAGCCUGGUCAGGGAA